AAUGAACGUUGGCGGCGUGGAUUAGGCAUGCAAGUCGCGCGAGAAAUUUCCUUCGGGAAAUGGACAGCGGCGGAAGGGAGAGGAAUAAGUAGAAAUCUGCCCUCGGGACGGGGAUAGCGGUGGGAAACUGCCGGUAAUACCCGAUAACAUCUUUGGAUCAAAUGGUGUGAUUUCCGCUUGAGGAUGAGUCUACUUCCUAUUAGCUAGUUGGUGGGGUAAUGGCCUACCAAGGCAACGAUGGGUAGCGGGUGUGAGAGCACGACCCGCCUCACUGGGACUGAGACACUGCCCAGACACCUACGGGUGGCUGCAGUCGAGAAUCUUCGGCAAUGGGGGAAACCCUGACCGAGCGACGCCGCGUGCGGGAUGAAGGCCCUUGGGUUGUAAACCGCUGUCGUAAGGGAACAAAUCCAUAGGGGUACUCCCCUAUGGUUGAGUGAUCUUAGGAGGAAGGACGGGCUAAGUUCGUG
rnacentral:rRNA from 1 species